rnacentral:rRNA from 1 species
GACGAGGGGUCCUAGCGUUGUUCGGAAUCACUGGGCGUAAAGCGUUCGUAGGCGGCUCUAUAAGUCGGGUGUGAAAUCCCACGGCUACAACCGUGGAAGUGCAUUCGAAACUGCAGAGCUUGAAUAUGGGUAGAGGGUAGUAGAAUUCCGUGGUGUAGUGGUGAAAUACGUAGAUAUCAGGAGGAAUACCGGUGGCGAAGGCGGCUACC